rnacentral:lncRNA from 1 species
UGGAAUCGUUGUAGCUGUUUUUUGUUUUCAUUUUUGUUUUGUACCGUUAUGAUAGUCAAAGAAGGAUAACUAACACUUCUUAUUGUCUUAUCUUGUGUGACAUAUUAUCAUGGUUUUUCUACAUGUUACCAUUAUGUGUAUGUUUUAAAAGUACAUUUUAUGUAUCAUAAAUUUGUGCAUUGCUAAACUUGAAUGACUAAAAUAUUUAUAAUUAACUAAAAGU